rnacentral:sRNA from 1 species
AGUCACCUAUAGAUAGUCACCUAACUAAUAAUGACUGGUCUUAACGCUGGGGCCACAAAGUAUGUUGUAGGGAAGGCUCAGAGACUGGUCCUGAAUACGGGAUCCCCAGGGGGCAGUUUGGGGCCAGGUGAGGGUGGAGUCCUUGCGGCAGUCCACUUAACUCUUCUCAUUCACCAACAGGCUGAAGAACUGAAACUGGCCACCCAGCUGACGGGACCAGUCAUGCCCAUCCGGAAUGUCUAUAAGAAGGAGAAAGCUCGAGUCAUCACUGAGGAGGAGAAGAAUUUCAAAGCCUUCGCUAGUCUCCGCAUGGCCCGUGCCAACGCCCGGCUCUUCGGCAUACGGGCAAAAAGAGCCAAGGAAGCUGCAGAACAGGAUGUUGAAAAGAAAAAAUAAAGCCCUCCUGGGGACUUGGAAUCA